UUUAUCAAAAACAUGGCCUUUUGUUAUUAUUUAAGGUCUGACCUGCUCAAUGAAAUUUUAAAUGGCCGCGGUAUUUUGACCGUGCAAAGGUAGCAUAAUCAUUAGUUUUUUAAUUGAAAGCUGGCAUGAAAGGUCGAAUGAGAAAAAAUCUGUCUCUUGAAAAUUUUAUUAGAAUUUUAUUUUUAAGUAAAAAAGCUUAAAUAAUGUUUAAAGACGAGAAGACCCUUUAGAGUUUUAUAUAAAUUUAUAAUUUAAAAUUUUGGAAUUUAUUAUUUAGGUUAAAAAUUUAUAUUUAAUUGGGGUGAUUGAAAAAUUUAAUUAACUUUUUCUUAUAGAACCAUUUAUUUAUGAGUAAUUGAUCCGUUUUUAACGAUUAUAAGAAUAAAUUACCUAAGGGAUAACAGCGUUAUUUUUCUUGAGAGUUCAAAUCGAAAGAAAAGAUUGCGACCUCGAUGUUGGAUUAAAAUUAAAUUAUGGUGCAGUAGUCAUAAAUUUAAGUCUGUUCGACUUUUAAAAUUUUACAUG
rnacentral:rRNA from 1 species